rnacentral:rRNA from 1 species
AGAGUUUGAUCAUGGCUCAGAACGAACGCUGGCGGCAGGCUUAACACAUGCAAGUUGAACGGGAUUUGCUUUGUGCUUGCAUAGAGCAAUGAGAGUAGCGCACUGGUGAGUAACACGUGGGAACAUGCCUUUUGGUGGGGGACAACAGUUGGAAACGACUGCUAAUACCGCAUAAGCCCUAAGGGGGAAAGAUUUAUUGCCGAAAGAUUGGCCCGCGGAAGAUUAGGUAGUUGGUGGGGUAAAGGCCUACCAAGCCGACGAUCUAUAGCUGGUCUGAGAGGACGAACAGCCACAUUGGAACUGAGACACGGUCCAGACUCCUACGGGAGGCAGCAGUGAGGAAUAUUGGGCAAUGGAGGAAACUUCCUGACCCAGCCAUGCCGCGUGAGUGAAGUAAGGUUUUCGAAUUAGUAAAGCUUCGUUUCGGGUAAGACGAUGAUGACGGUAUUAACCUAAAGAACGCCCGGCAAACUUCGUGCCAGCCGCCGC